rnacentral:misc_RNA from 1 species
GGGGGAUAGCCUUCUCGAGUCUGAUUUUCGCACAAACCCUCACUCUCUCGCUGUGUCCUCCUCAAUCUUCUGCAGUCUUCCCCAAUCUCACGAUCUUGCACUGCGCAAGACGGGUUAAGCCUUGGGCUUGUUCGCUUGGAGGUCGUCUUCGUGGGCUUGCCGUGUUAAGCCGCCGUCCACCGUUCGUUGUGGAAGUCAUGUCAGAAAGAAAGCCUAUCAUUGGCCUCUCUUGGGAGCCAAAGCUGCCCGCCUCCUCAUUGGGGGUCAGAACUAAAACUUGUGAUAAAUCUAACAGUCAAGCAGAAAACAGUCUUGUUUGGAAAACCAACUCAGAGCUUGUUGAUGGGCUGUUUGUUCCACCAAACAAACCAAAAAAAUUGAACAAGUUAUUGAGAAAGCAAGUCAGCGACACGGCUGGGAGGAAUUGGUUUGACAUGCCAGCACAAACCGUGACCCCUGAAGUGGAAAAAGAUUUGCGCUUGUUGAAGCUGAGGAGUGUCAUUGAUCCCAAGAGACACUACAAAAAGGGUGAUUCAAAAUCAAAAACACUUCCCAAAUAUUUCCAGGUGGGAACUGUGGUUGAGUCUUCUUUGGACUUCUUCACGGGUAGAUUAACAAAGAAGGAAAGGAAAGCAACGCUUGCAGACGAACUGCUAUCUGACCAGGCUCUCACUCAGUACAGGAAACGCAAAGUUCAAGAAAUCGAAGAGCAGAAUCGACCUGCUGGCAACGAUAAAUGGAAAAUAAGGGGUCGUCAUUCACAAAAACGGGCAAAGGAUAGGAGGCAGUAGUUAAGCUACCUCAAAAUUUUGACGUGUAAGCCAUAUAAACACAGCAGGAUCGAAUCAAGCUAGGUGGGUGGGGUUUGUGACCCAGUGUGAUACAAUAGUAGGCGAAUUCAUCAUUUGUACUGCCGGCUCCAACUUGAUUUAUGGGCUAGGUGAAGUCCUUCAAAUAUUCCCCCCUAUUGAAUUGAUGAUUUGUAUUAGGAGUAGAAAUGUUCUUCAGGUUAUUUUAUUGAACCUGUAUUUAAGAAAUUUUGUUUAUUUGCCACCAAGUAUAACGACGUAUUAUUG